AUUGAACGCUGGCGGAAUGCUUUACACAUGCAAGUCGAACGGCAGCACGGACUUCGGUCUGGUGGCGAGUGGCGAACGGGUGAGUAAUGUAUCGGAACGUGCCCAGUCGUGGGGGAUAACGUAGUGAAAAUUACGCUAAUACCGCAUACGAUCUAUGGAUGAAAGCGGGGGAGCGCAAGACCUCGCGCGAUUGGAGCGGCCGAUAUCAGAUUAGGUAGUUGGUGGGGUAAAGGCCCACCAAGCCAACGAUCUGUAGCUGGUCUGAGAGGACGACCAGCCACACUGGAACUGAGACACGGUCCAGACUCCUACGGGAGGCAGCAGUGGGGAAUUUUGGACAAUGGGCGAAAGCCUGAUCCAGCCAUUCCGCGUGCAGGAUGAAGGCCCUCGGGUUGUAAACUGCUUUUGUACAGAACGAAAAGGUUUCUACUAAUACUAGGAGCUCAUGACGGUACUGUAAGAAUAAGCACCGGCUAGCUACGUGCCAGCCGCCGCAGUAA
rnacentral:rRNA from 1 species